rnacentral:rRNA from 1 species
UACGAAGGGGGCUAGCGUUGCUCGGAAUCACUGGGCGUAAAGCGCACGUAGGCGGCUUCUUAAGUCGGGGGUGAAAUCCUGGAGCUCAACUCCAGAACUGCCUUUGAUACUGAGAAGCUUGAGUCCGGGAGAGGUGAGUGGAACUGCGAGUGUAGAGGUGAAAUUCGUAGAUAUUCGCAAGAACACCAGUGGCGAAGGCGGCUCACUGGCCCGGUACUGACGCUGAGGUGCGAAAGCGUGGGGAGCAAACAGG